rnacentral:rRNA from 1 species
UACGUAGGGGGCUAGCGUUGUCCGGAUUUAUUGGGCGUAAAGAGCGUGUAGGCGGCCAGGUAGGUCUGCUGUGAAAACUCGAGGCUUAACCUCGAGAUGUCGGCGGAAACCAUCUGGCUAGAGUCCGGAAGAGGAGAGUGGAAUUCCCUGGUGUAGCGGUGAAAUGCGCAGAUAUCAGGAAGAACACCCGUGGCGAAGGCGGCUCUCUGGGGACGGUACUGACGCUGAGACGCGAAAGCGUGGGGAGCGAACAGG